rnacentral:rRNA from 1 species
AUUGAACGCUGGCGGCAUGCCUUACACAUGCAAGUCGAACGGCAGCACGGGUGCUUGCACCUGGUGGCGAGUGGCGAACGGGUGAGUAAUACAUCGGAACAUGUCCUGUAGUGGGGGAUAGCCCGGCGAAAGCCGGAUUAAUACCGCAUACGAUCUACGGAUGAAAGCGGGGGACCUUCGGGCCUCGCGCUAUCGGGUUGGCCGAUGGCUGAUUAGCUAGUUGGUGGGGUAAAGGCCUACCAAGGGGACGAUCAGUAGCUGGUCUGAGAGGACGACCAGCCACACUGGGACUGCGACACGGCCCAGACUCCUACGGGAGGCAGCAGUGGGGAAUUUUGGACAAUGGGCGAAAGCCUGAUCCAGCAAUGCCGCGUGUGUGAAGAAGGCCUUCGGGUUGUAAAGCACUUUUGUCCGGAAAGAAAUCCUUGGCCCUAAUACGGUCGGGGGAUGACGGUACCGGAAGAAUAAGCACCGGCUAACUACGUG